rnacentral:misc_RNA from 1 species
GUUAGCUCUUUUUUACCAACAUUUCAUCUCGCUUGAACAGUUUGCAAUCUUUUGUUUCAAGAACGUAAGAAUAUUAAACAUCUAAAUUCGCAAGAUUUAUCGCCAUUACAUAUACAAAAACAGCAAUUGUUUUCAGUCAUACAUUAUUUAUCGAUUUUCGUUCAUUAUUCGUUGACAUCAAAUCAUUGACAAAAAAAUAUAUGCUAAAAUGAAUUUUCUCAUAAUCAAGUUGUGAAACGUUAAAACUUGAAGUGAAUUUAUUUCUGAAAAUUUACAAAAUAAAGCAAACUUGAAAAGUGAAUAGGAACAGAAGGGUUCCACCGGAUAGCAUCAGCGUGUUCUUCCUGACAAAAUCUUUUUGGCCCGAGUACCAUUACGCGGUGCCAUGGGACUGCAAGAGUGGUGAAUUCGGAAAUUACGGUUUUGGUUGCACCACAUUUUUCAUCAAAAUGUUUCACGAACUCGGUUUAAUCAACGAAUUACAAACUACGGAAACGGAAGAUGUCAGGGAGGUUCUCCACAAGAUGGCGAAGAAAAAGCUGCCACUCAGCGAAGGUUUAUCGCAGCUCAAGCAGAAGUCCGAGUACAACACGCUGAAAGAAAAACUGAUGAUUCGUCAUUGAAGAAAAGAACAAAACAUUUGUCGAAGUAUCGAGAUUCAAUUUUACCGAGCUUUUGGUUAUUGAUGAUUCAGACUGCAUCGAGUAUUACUUCCAGCACUAUGUAGAAAGCCCAUAUGUCUUCCACUGAAAUCUUUACAUCUUAAUUUUAAGCACCAUCUGAAAAAUAUAAAUCUGGAAACUAUUUUAUGAUAGUGCAAGAAUAAACCCUUGUUACAUAAUAAAUUAUCGAUAACCA